UACGAAGGGGGCUAGCGUUGCUCGGAAUUACUGGGCGUAAAGGGCGCGUAGGCGGCCGACUAAGUCAGACGUGAAAUCCCCUGGCUCAACCAGGGAACUGCGUCUGAUACUGGAUGGCUUGAGUUCGGGAGAGGAUGGUGGAAUUCCCAGUGUAGAGGUGAAAUUCGUAGAUAUUGGGAAGAACACCGAUGGCGAAGGCAGCCAUCUGGACCGACACUGACGCUGAGGCGCGAAAGCGUGGGGAGCAAACAGGG
rnacentral:rRNA from 1 species